rnacentral:rRNA from 1 species
UACGAAGGGGGGCUAGCGUUGUUCGGAAUUACUGGGCGUAAAGCGCGCGCAGGCGGCUAUCCAAGUCAGUGGUGAAAGCCCGGAGCUCAACUCCGGAACUGCCAUUGAAACUGUUUAGCUUGAGGAUGAGAGAGGUGAGUGGAAUUCCUGGUGUAGCGGUGAAAUGCGCAGAUAUCAGGAGGAACACCGGUGGCGAAGGCGGGUCUCUGGGCCGAUACUGACGCUGAGGAGCGAAAGCGUGGGGAGCAAACAGG